rnacentral:rRNA from 1 species
UACGUAGGGCGCAAGCGUUUAUCCGGAAUUAUUGGGCGUAAAGAGCUCGUAGGCGGUUUUGUCGCGUCUGCCCGUGAAAAGUCCGGGGGCUCAACUCCCGGAUCUGCGGUGGGUACGGGGCAGACUAGAGUGAUGUAGGGGGAGACUGGAAUUCCUGGUGUAGCGGUGAAAAUGCGCAGAUAUCAGGAGGAACACCGAUGGCGAAGGCAGGUCUCUGGGCAUUAACUGACGCUGAGGAGCGAAAGCAUGGGGGAGCGAACAGG